AGAGCUCUCACAGAUGCAUGGAAAUAAGCCGUUCACUUUUAUUCCAAUAGAACCUUGCUUUGUAUAAACUUUUAAGAAGUUGUGCUCAGCGUGGGGUGAGGGGGAGUGAGAGCAAAGGCCUCCUUCCUUGCCUAGCAAGACCGUCCACACGCCCAUCUCAAGGCCUCUCCUGGCCUGUGUCUUCCACAUGCUGUGGUUUCUGGGGCAGGAAGAGAGGAGAACCGAGAGAAGGGAAGGGAUUUGUCGGCUUUCUGCCUCCUCAGUGGCUUCUCACGCCUUCAGUGGCCGUGACCAGGUCCUCUCUUAGGAAGACAUGGUGAGUGCUCCCUGCACCUUGGGUGUUUCGAGGAGGUGCAGCUUGGAGAAGCCCAGGCUAACGGGCGUUGGGAGGGUCUUUGGCGUUUUCCUUUGGGGACUGGGAAAAGGGUGCAAAUUGAAACCAGAGAUGCUUCCGUAGUCCUUUGUUCAGAGCACACACCUUUCAGCAUACGAUCCACUCUAUUUUUUUUUUUUAUUAUUGUUUACUGAAAAUUUUUAUUUCUAGUCCACUUUUUUUUUUAAAUGUGAAAAGUGCUCUAACAAGUGCCUCAUUUGGUGCCAUACAGGAUUUGAAGUCCUCCUUUUUUUUCUGCCAGGUGGCAGAUGGGACCUUCUCUGGGGACUGCAGCCACUGAAGAUCUUUCUUUUGGAAAUUCUUAGGUUUGGUGAAUGCUUUCAGACAGUUCCCUGUCCUCGUGGGCUCUGAUGUUUCCUUGAAAGCGUUGGCAUUUUGGAUUCACCUCCGAGACAGGGUGAAAGGGUGCUCCUGGCCCCAUCCUGACCCAGCCCUCCAGUGGGCGAGACUAGUUCUGCUGCCUUACCCCAUUCCUUCCAAGUUUCUGCUUCUUCGAUCCAUUGUAAAAGAUGGCUCCGUGACUUUCUUCAUCUGUUUCCGAUUCAUGGAUCAGGAGAGCUUAUUUGGAGGUUCCAGCAGGAUCAGCUAGAACCUUGUAUCUUCUCAAACAAAUGACAGGUCUCUGGGGAUGAAGGUGAAGGUCCGGC
rnacentral:lncRNA from 1 species